GAUGUUCUUGUGUGGAUGAUGGACUCCAACUUGCUUCCCUGCCUGGCAUGCGCUACAAAUCCUGUCUUUCUCAAAAUAAACAUUUGUUAAUCCUAAAAUGUGCUCUCCCUUUAGAAGCUUAUGAAGAUUCUUCAUCCCAACAUGGGCUAGUCGGCGGUGCCAGAGCCAACCCAUGUUAGUCUUAGCAAUCAAGCAUGUGUCGAGUUCAGCUCUAUCAAAAUCUACUAGGUAUAGCUGACCCUCUAACACUCCCUUGAAUGCUAUUGAAUCAUCACUUCUUCUAAAGACAGUGACACCUACAUCAGUGAAUAGACAGUUGUAGCCCUUUUGACAUAAUUGGGAAACCGAAAGCAAGUUGUAAUCUAAGGAAUCAACAAGAAAAACAUUGGAAAUAGAAUGGUCAGGAGAUAUAGCAAUUUUACCCAAUCCUUUGACCAAACCUUGAUUUCCAUCCCCGAAUGUGAUAGCUCGUUGGGGAUCUUGGUUUUUCUCAUAUGAGGAGAACAUCCUUUUCUCCCCUGUCAUGUGGUUUGUGCACCCGCUAUCGAGUAUCCAACUUGAGCCCCCGGAUGCAUAAACCUACAAAACAAUUUUAGUUCUUGACUUUAGGUACCCAAACGGUUUUGGGUCCUUUGGCAUUAGAAACAAGAACUUUGGGUACCCAAACACAAGUCUUGGAGCCCUUGUGUUUGCCCCCAACAAAUUUGGCAACUACCUUGCCGGAUUUGCUAGUAAGCACAUAAGAUGCAUCAAAAGUUUUAAAUGAAAUGGCAUGAUCAUUUGAUGCAUUAGGAAUUUUCUUCUUAGCAUUGGUUGGUUGCCUAGAACUAGAUGUCUCACCCUUAUACAUAAAAGCAUGAUUAGGGCCAGAGUGAGACUUCCUAGAAUGAAUCUUCCUAAUUUUGCUCUCAGGAUAGCCGGCAGGGUAUAAAAUGUAACCCUCGUUAUCCUGAGGCAUGGGAGCUUUGCCCUUAACAAAGUUAGACAAGUUCUUAGGAGGGGCAUUAAGUUUGACAUUGUCUCCCCUUUGGAAGCCAAUGCCAUCCUUGAUGCCAGGGCGUCUCCCAUUAUAAAGCAUGCUACGAGCAAAUUUAAAUUUCUCAUUUUCUAAGUUGUGCUCGGCAAUUUUAGCAUCUAGUUUAGCUAUAUGAUCAUUUUGUUGCUUAAUUAAAAUCAUGUGAUCAUGAAUAGCAUCAAUAUCAACAUUUCUACAUCUAGUACAAAUAGAUACAUGCUCAACAAUAGAUGUAGAGGGUUUGCAAGAUUUUAAUUCUACAACCUUAGCAUGCAGCAUAUCAUUUUUAGUUCUAAGGUCAGAAAUUGUAACAUUGCAAACAUCUAGUUCUUUAGCCUUAGUAAUCAACUUUUCAUUUUCUACUCUAAGGCUAGCAAGAGAAAUGUUCAAUUCUUCAAUCCUAGC
rnacentral:lncRNA from 7 species